UAUGGGGAUCUGCCCGAUAGAGGGGGAUAACUACUGGAAACGGUGGCUAAUACCGCAUAAUGUCUACGGACCAAAGCAGGAGCUCUUCGGACCUUGCACUAUCGGAUGAACCCAUAUGGGAUUAGCUAGUAGGUGGGGUAGAGGCUCACCUAGGCGACGAUCUCUAGCUGGUCUGAGAGGAUGAUCAGCCACACUGGGACUGAGACACGGCCCAG
rnacentral:rRNA from 1 species